AUGGCGUGGAGCGGCGAGGGGAGGGACUGGGCCGCGGCGGACUCGGCGGCGGAGGGAGGAGCGCGGCUGCGGGCGGGCGGGCGGCGAGCGAGGCGCUCAAAGUCAGCCUCGCAGACAUUGCAGCAGAGCCCCGAACUCGGGAGGCGGCGGCGGCGGCGGCGGAGGCGGAGGAGGCGGAGGCGGAGGAGGUGGAGGAGGCGGCCGAGGCGGAGGGACGCGCCGGCCCCAAGCCCUCCCGCCCGCCCGCGCACGCCCGCCGGUGGCCCCGCGGCUGCCACUGCGCUUGGCAGCGCUGCUGACCGGAGGGGAGAGCUCGCCGGGGCGCCGAGGGAGCACGGGGCGGCGGGGCGCCUUCGUGGAGUGCGCCUGACGGAGCCCGAGGCGCGGAGCCGCGGCGGCCUCGGGGAGUGUUGGACUGUGAGCUAUUGCAGAACUCUGUUCUCAGGACCCGUUAUUUUAACAGCCAGGAGAAGCACAUCUAGAAGAUGCACAUGA
ensembl:lncRNA